AAUAAUCUUACCGAUAAAUAAUCUACAGUAUUUAAAAUUUAAUCUACAGUAUAAAUAAAAUAAAUCAUCAUCGAUAAAUCAUUAAUACACACAAUCCGUCUCUAUCAUCCCUUAGCUCUCGGGAAAAAGAAAAAAAGAGUCCAACAUACUCACUCCACUCCACAGCUCAAAAAUACCCUCUCCUCCUCUCCCACACACAACAACCCAAACAAUGUCUACUCCUCCGCCUACCGCCGCCGCCGACUUCC
rnacentral:lncRNA from 1 species